rnacentral:lncRNA from 1 species
ACAAGUGAAACUCCACUUUAUUGAACGAUGGGGUCUCAAAUGGGCUGCCUCUUUGCCACUCUUUUGGUAGUAUCAGUCUCUCUUAGCUACUUGCCGUUAGAAGCCUCCGCAAACAAAUACUACUACACAUCUCCUCCCCCUCCCAAGUACAAGUCUCCACCACCCCCGCCACCGGUUCACAAUUCUCCACCACCACCCCCUGUUUACCUGCCCCCGCCACCUCCUCCACCAGUCUACGUGCCUGCUCCGGCACCAACUCCAAUUUCCUAUUCCCCGCCACCUCCUGUCCCCAAGUCCCCACCACCACCUCACCCUUACGUCUAUGCAUCUCCCCCUCCUCCUUACUACUACUAGAAAGCGGCCAUGAAUAGCUCAUGCUUUUAUGGUAAUCUCAUUUAUUUUUAAAACUGUACAUGUAAAGACUAGUAGUUCAGAAUUACAUUAAGCAUUUCAAUUUUAAGCACCGUGUUCUGUUUAAUUGCGUUCCUAUUGAUUAAGUGACAAAUAAAAGAGAUUGAUUAAUUUGUUCUUGUAGGAGAGGCGAAUGGUAUCCGAAUAAAGAAAGCAAGGGUUUGAUGGAAGGCUUACUUGGAGCAAGAUAGCGAUCAAUCGAGUUGCUGCGUUUUAUUCUCUUUUAUCUUUGUUUUUUAAGAAAAAUAAACUGCCACGCGUAGAAACAGAAAAUUAAGUUCUUGUCAUUUUCAUGCAUAUGGAUUGUUGAUGUGUGUGUCAAUCAAAUCUCCGGUGUGUCAUUUGUAAUUUUCAACCUUUAUGCAUGCAAAUGGGAGACCUCUUACGUAUAAUAAAAUUAAUAUACUUCCCAAGAUGGUCUUAUCUUGCGUUGACUUUUUACGUUCCUUUGGUGAUGAUUUUGAAUGCCAAAAGCGUGGUCAUGGAUUUUUCGUGCAACUACAGAGCACAUUAACGAGAGACUUAUCCAUGAGGGUCCAUGCAGAUCAGUGUCUAAUUAACCAAUAAUUAAUAUAACUUAAAAAAUAUAGAGUUAACAAUUUUUAUGGGUCAGGCUCAAUUAUAGAUGUUCGUACAAAAUUUCUUGCUAAUGUAUACUUGAGUAUGAUAAUAAGUUUUAAUCAUUAUUAGUAAUUCACUUGAUAAUAUUAAACAAAUUUUCAUAUCAAUUAAGUUACAAAAUUUCUGUGACAAAUUUCCACGUACUGGAACCAUGCAAAAGGGCUUUGUUCAAACAGAGCUGCAUAGCCGUUGGCAAUUAAAAUUAUUUAUCAAUAAAGUUAAGUAGUAAGAAUUGGAUUGUGGAUUCCAUUAAUUAUUUCAAGGAAAAUUUUAUAGAUAAUGCCGUAAUGAAAUUUACGGCAUCAAUAUCAUGAUAAAUAUAAAUAUUGUAAAUUACAAAUAGAAUUAGUAAAUGUAAAGUAAAACCAGUAAAUUCAUAAAAGAUUAUUAAUUAUUUAAAAAAUUAACAUUGUUUCUACAUAAUUUUAGUGAAAAAUAUUUUAUUCAUUUACAAAAAAAAAUUCUUUAAUUAAACAAAAAAAAUUCAUUAAUUAAGCAAAAAAAUUAUACUGAAAAAAAAGUGGAAUAAGUUUUUUUAUCAGUGGUGUGGACUUUGUAAACUUUUCAUCCUUAAUUAAACAUCACAUGUAUUAUAGAAAUGCAAAACUACCAUUGUUAUAUUUAAAUUAAAAAAUAAUAAAUAUAUAAGGUAAUAAACAUUAUAACGAGUUUUUAUUUUAAAAUUGUAAACUUUUAUUUCUGACAAUAACUCUUAUAUUAAUUUAUUUAUUUUGCCUUUUAUUCAUAAGUUUUAUGCAUAAUCUACAAAGUUUAUGUUUUAUUUUGCAUUUAAUGUUGAUUUUCUUUUUUUAUAUUAUACGUAUAAGUUUUCAUUUUAUUUACCAGUAAUACAUCAAUUUAUCAGUUUUAUAGUAAUUUACUUAUUUUACCUUCCUUUUAUAAUUCUUAUGUUUCAUUUCCAAAAUUUAUGUUUUAUUUUACAGUCGUUGAUGAUUUACUAGUUUUAUGUUAUGUUUGCAAGUUUUUGUUUUGUUUACUAGUAAUAGAUUAAUGGGUAAUUUUUAAUUGAGUCCUCAUUAGUUCUAGAAAAAAAAUUCAGAGACCAGAAGUUUACUAAAUGAAUCAAUUAAAUUCUUUCAAUUACAAACUAAUGUCAUUCAAAUCCUUAACUUAAUUGCUCAGUUAAAAAUAUUAACAACGUUGAGGACAUUUUAGUAAAACAACAAAUGAGUCGUUUCUCAUUCUUUAUUUUUGACAGGUGGAAAUAGUUUAAAGUAAACUCAAUUAACCUGAUUAAGUUAAGGAUCAGUUCUUUCAAAUGAAAAAAAAACCUACAGAAACUGCCAUAUUCUUCGUCUGAGAGGAGAGAUCGAGAGAACGUGGGACGGCGCAAAAAAUGUUGUAUAAAUCUACUGUGAUUUUGACCAAAGCUUUGGUAGCAUUGAUUGAGUUCAAGUACUGGAGAGAACCUGAGUUUAAAGGUUAGUAACUCUAUUUUUUUAGUGAUUUCUGCAAGCAUUUUCUGAUAAAAAUUUUUCCAUAUUGAGUGAUCGUUGUGAAAAAUUAAGUUUUUCAAGUCUAUUUUUCAAAAUGACAAACUAUGUUUAAUUAUUGGUGGAUUCUUUUUUUUGUUCAAUGUUGUAUUUUGUUAAUUUGUUGUUUUUAAUUUGCUCUUUAUGUAAUUGUUAGACCAAAUACACCAUUAUUAUACCUGUAUUCAUUUCAACAAUUUGGUAUUGUUAUAUUAAUAAGAUUGAAUUCAUUGUAUUUGCUUCUUUGUUCAUGUAAAAUUGAAUUCUAUGUAUUCUUAUGAGUGAUAAUUUUUCUAUCUAUUAGACUAAAUUCACUAUAUUCACUACUUUCUUUCUUUUUGCUGGGCUAUUUUUUCUUUUUAGUUUAUAUUUUUUAUAUGUAUUAGAUUGAAUUUGCUUUUGUGCGUUUUUUAGCCGAAUUACAUGUAUAUUUCAUUUAGGUUGAGUUUUUUUGUUGUUUGCUAAAUAAAAUUAUAUUGGUUUAUCCUUUUUUGAUGCAAUACUUUUGUUUAAAAUUAAUGCAGGUAGCCAUGUUACCUUUUUUUCGGUUAAAAUUAAUGGGGUGAUGUAUGCGAUAGGAUAUAGGGAACCAGAGGAAUAUAAGAUUAUUAGGCUGUUUCUUGAAAUUCAAGAUGUCAUGGUUAAGCAUGGACACAGUGAAAUGGAUUUGAUUGAAAUUUCUGUUGUAAUUUUUUCUCAAAAUCGGAUUUUGAAAAAAAUAUUAUUUUAAUAUCUUUUAUAGUUGUUUUAAGAUGAGGUUAUUUUACAUCUUUCUACACUUCUUCAGCAACAACCUUAAAUGGUCUCCAAAUACAAGUAAAAAGUUUGAAACUACAUAAAGUAUACAUAAUAUUCAAAAUUAGAUCUAAUUUUAUUGAUAUCUCUUUGUGUUUUUUUACUUGAUCCACAUCAAGAUAAAUAAUUGCACUUAAUUAACAUGUGUAAUAAAUAGAUAUCAUUAUAGAAAAUGGGAAAAAAAUGUAUACAAAUGUCCUAGACUAAAUAUAGAAUUUAUUGAAGAUUGAAAAUUACAAUCUUCAAUCUCAUCGGGAGUCUUUAUGGAAUCCAGCACAUUGAUUGUAACUUGCUGGUCAUUCACCCUCAUGGUUAAUUCUCCCUUUUGAACAUUAAUUAAAGUCUUUCUCGUGGCUAAGAAAGGUCUCCCUACAAUGAUUGACACUUCUUUGUCUGCCUCAAAGUCUAGCACAAUGAAAUCCACCGGAAAAAUAAAUUUAUCCACCUUCACCAACACAUCUUCAAUCUUUCCUUUUGAAUAGGCAUGAGAUCUGUCAGCAAGUUGUAGAGUCACUGUUGUUAGUCUACAUUCACCAACUCCCAAUUGCUUAAAUACUGAUAAAGGCAUGAGGUUGAUGCUAACCCCCAGAUCACAAAGUGUUUUGCCACUGUAUUUAGUGCCUAUGGAGCAUGGGAUUGUGAAGCUUCUUGGAUCCUUCAUCUUUUGUGGUAUCUUACUCUGAAGCAUUCGGCUGCACUCUUACGUUAGAGCAACUGUUUCAAACUCUCCAAGUCUUCUUUUCUUUGUCAAAAUAUCCUUUAAAAGUUUCGCAUAAUUUGGCAUUUGCUCUAGAGCUUCCACAAAAGGGAUAUUGAUAAAUAGUUGUUUCCGGCACUCCCAAGAUUUUGCUGAACUGCUUGUCUUGUUUUUUCUUCUGAAACCUUUAAGGAAAGGGUGGUGGAUGUUUAAAUUGUUGUGCUGCAGCAGGUUGUGCAGACUGCUUCUAUUUUGCUUUACUCGGGUCUGUUGUUGCAAUCUCGUUAUCCACAGGUGUUGGAUCAUCAUUUUUGGCAAAUGCUGCAGCUUGACUGCUCUCACCAGUGAGCUGUGAAGUUGAGGAUUGUGGCUCUUUUUCAAUUUGAGUUUCUUUCUGGAUUGAAGUGGACUCAACUCUUCUUUUUGAUACACCAACGGGACUAUGAACAUCCUUUCCAGAUCUCAAAUUAAUCACUUUGCAGUGCUCUUUCCCUUCUCUUCUUAGGUCCUCUGUAUUACUGGGUAAACUACCUUGAGGUCUGUUGCUCAAUGUUGUAGCAAGCUGUUCAAUUUGAUUUUCCAAGUUUCUCAAAGAUACAAUAUAACUUUGGACAACUACUUCAUUCUUCACAAUAUAAUCCUUAAUCAAACCUUCAAGGGAGCUGAGUUGAUCAUUGUUGAUGCUUCUUUGCUCUUGAUUUUGCUGAUAAAAUCCACUAGGUGCUGCAGCAGUCUGGUUCUGACAACCCCAUGAAAAGUUCGGAUGUUGUCUCCAUCCAGGGUUGUAAGUGUUUGAAUAUGGAUUGCUAUGGUUCUGUCUAUUGAAGCUGCCCACAUAAUUGACUGAAGCUGGAUUCCCAGAACAAUUGUCAAAUAAAUGUCAUUCUCCACAAUAAACACAAGACACAUUAGAAAUUUGGUUAACAGUUGCUGGAGCACUGGUCAUACCUUUCACCAUGUUUGUUAAUGAAGUUACUUGGGUUGACAAUACUGUCAAGGCAUCUACGUUAUGAACUCAUGAUGUUCCUCUUGCAGCAGCUUGUCUGGUUGACGGCCACUGAUAGUUAUUGUUGGCUAUUCUCUCCAAAAUUUCAUAAGCCUCAUUAUAAGACUUAGAUAAUAAGGCCUCAUUUGCUGAAACGUCCACCAUCAAUCUAGUACUUGGGUUGAGACCAUUAUAGAAAGUUUCCAAUUGUAUGCAACAAGGAAUACCAUGAUGAGGACAUCUCCUGAGUAACUCCUUAAAUCUCUCUCAUGCAGCACACAAGCUCUCAUCUUCAAGUUAAUGGAAAGAUGUGAUCUCGUUCCUCAACUUUGCAUUCUUGGUUGGCGGGAAGUAUUUCAUCAAAAACUUUUUAGCCAAAUCAUUACAUGUAGUGAUAGAAUCUGGUGGUAGAGAAUUCGACCAUGCUCUUGCUUGGUCUCUCAAAGAAAAAGGGAAAAGUUUGAGUCUCAAUGCUUCCUGCGAUGCUCCAGCAAUCUUGAAAGCAUCACUUACUUCCAAAAAUAACUUAAGGUAUAGAUGAGGAUCUUUGAAUGGCAAACCAUUAAAUUGCCCCACUGUUUGAAGCAUUUGAAACAUCACGGGUUUGAGUUCAAAAUUGUCAGCUUGAAUGUCGGGUCUAACUAUUCCCGGAUGUAUGGCUUGAGGAGUCAACACUACGUAAUCUCGAAUGGCUCUAUCUAUAUCGUUCGCCAUGUGAAUAAUGUUGUUGUUCCCCGGUUGCCUUUGAACACAUUGUCCAUUCAGACCUUCAUGUACAUUGACUGGUUGUAUCUCCUCUCUACAGUUCAAGUUUCUCAAAUCUUGGAAUUCAUCUAUUAUUACAGCAGCUUGUAAUUCCUGAUGCUCUCUUCUCAAUCUCCUUACAGUUCGUUCAAUUUCUGGAUCAAACUGGAAUUCAAUAGAUUUAUAUUUGCGCAUGCAACGGUUGUUAGAUCACCUAUGUCAACAAAAUAAACAAAUCAAAAUAAAAUUAAAAAUUAGCACCGUUAAAACUAAUUUCACAAAUCACAAUGAAUAAUCAAUCCCCAGCAACGGCGCCAAAAACUUGUUGGGUAAAAAUACUAAUGCUAUUGGUGUCAAUGUGCAAGUGUACACAACAAGUAAUAUAAUUAUGAGUAUUCAAGAUCGUCUCCACAGGAAUUAAUAUUAUUAGAUUUGCUACAGCAAUCCCAACAGUGCAGAUUUUGUUUUAAUGAUCAAUUUAGUUCCUUUGAAACUCUGAUUAUCAAUUAAAAUAAAAAUGCAAUAAAUAAAAUGUAACAAAGUAAAUUAUCACGUCAAACUCAAAGAUAAAACCAAUAGAAAUAUAGAGUAGUUGAGUGAAUAAACUCUCCUAAUGGUCUUGACUAUUUUCUAAUUGUUGGCUUGGUUGCUGCAGUAUCUACUACAACACUGGGCAGAAUCCUUAUGCAUCUUCAGCCGUCGCAUGUUGGAUAUCUUAUAUCUAUAUGCAACCUAACAGUGAUCAGUUAUUAUGCCAACAUAAAAUAUAGCAUUACACACUUUGGUUCUAUUUACCCUACAAGGUGAAUCCCUAUGUCUAGUUCAUCACUAAUCUUAAAUCAAGCAUGACCCUUUUGGGACUCAAGUAAAACUCAAUCCAGGAAACUCAAUUUAAGAUCAAGUAUUGCUUUGAUAUAUUCCACUCAGAUAAGCCCUUUUGUGGCUCUUCCUUAGCUAGUAUCAUUAAAUGGGUGAUCAGCCGAAAUAAUGAAUAAAAAUAAAUUCUAUCAAAACAAAAUGCUACAGCAAACAUGCAUCAACUCAUAUUUUCAGUCAAUAAACCAUCAAGAUUGUUUAUUACUCAACCACAAAUAAAUUUAGUUCAUGAUUUGCAAAAGAAAAAUAAAGAACAAAGUUUCGUCCAUGAAACACAUCCCCAUGAAUAAAUAGAAAACACGAAAAUAAGAGAAGGAUAAGAAGGAUUGAGCUCCCAAUUGAUCUCUGCAAUUUUCAUUUCUCAUCAAACAACUCUCUUUUAGAAUGGAUAUACAAAUGAUAGCUCAGUGAAGAUUUAAUCUAUGAUGAUUUACGAAAUUGAAGCUCAAUAUAUGUUGUGUGCACUUGUUUAUGCUUUCAAGAUUACCAAAAAUGAAUUGGAUUUGAGUUUAUAUAGUUUGAGCCCAAAAACUAGCCGUUAUAGACUAAUUUUUUGUGAUAACUGGCUUGCUGCUUUGUGAAUCUGGUUAGCCAUUUUUAUGUUACUGUUACAGCAAAUAUUUGAAUUUUGGAACAUCUAGCAUGCUGCUUUCGGAAUCCGGUUAGUCGCUUUCAUUCCAGUGAGCUACUGCCCAUAAUCUGACUUGCCGCUUUGUAAAAUCUUGUUAGUCGCAUUGCUACAGUGACGACUACAGUGAACUAUUUUCUAAAAUUACAAAACGUCGUAAAACUUUGCACAAAGGUCCAAUUUUAGAAUUUCUAAAUAAUGCUUGUUAUUCCCAAAACUUUCUGAAAUUAUGAUACCGUCAAAAAUGCUAUAAAACUUUUCAAAUAAGUCCCUCUCCAGAAUUCCAAGCAAUACUUGUUGAUUUCAAAGUUUUCAAAACUCUUUCAAUUAGACCACAAACUUGAAAAACAACCAAUUUUAUAAAAUCAUUUUUUCAUUAAAUAUAAAACCUUUAUAAUGUGAAAAUAAUGAUUUAUUUAAAAUGUAUAAAAAAUAAUUUGAACUUUUAAAGACUUAAUCAUUCUUAAUUUUAUUUGUUAUCAUCAAAAUCAACAUUAUGAAUACAUAAAUGUUAACAAUCUCCCGCUUUUUGAUGAUGACAUAAUUUUCAUGUAUUUAAAGAAUGAUUGCACAAAUUGCUCCUCCUAAAUGUAAGCUCCCCUUACAAUUUGAACUUAAAAGAUUAAUAAUUCUUAAUAUUGUUUGUUAUCAUCAAAAUCAACACUGUGGAAACAUAAAUGUUAACAAUCUCCCCCUUUUUUAUGAUGGCAAACCUUCAUGUAUUUAAAGAAUGAUUCCACAAAUUGCUCCCCCAAAAUGUAAGCUUCUCUUACAAUUUAGCUAAAUUAACAAAUUUAAAUACAUGUAUUCUUCUCCCCCUUCAUCAUAAAAAAGAAAACUUAAUGGAAAAGAAAAAGAGUAGCAAAUUUGUUAUCCAUGUUGUUCGAGUAGAAAUUUCGAUAGAAUCUCCCCAUAACAACAAGCAUCACCUCAAAUACAAGUUUAAUAAUAUUACUCCUAAAUUAUUAUAAAUCAUGAUACAAGCCAACUUCAUAUACAAAUCAUCACACAAUCCAUCAACCAUAAAAACAUCAUGAACCAUUAUUCCAUCAAUUACCAAAUCAACAACUCAUAACAUAAAAUUAUCAUGUAAAACAACCAUGUAAUCAAAUCAUCAUCAUAUCCCAAAAUCAUCAAAAUCAUCACCAUAAUCACAUAUCAAUCAUCAAAACAAUACUCAAAGUGCAUAUUAUUCUCCUCCUUUUGACAACAUCGAAAUGAUAUAUUACUUUGUCUCCCCCUUUGGACAACAAAAAAGUUCAAAAUGCAUAUUAUCCAAAAUCAUAUUGUAUGCUCCCCCUAAAUAUAUGGCCAAUUUAAAAUUUUAACCAAACUGAUUUUAUCCAAAAAUAUAUCAUAUUUAUCUCUCUCUUCAUCAUAAAAAAAAAAAGAUAGAUAUAUGCAAUCGAAACAAGAUCAUCAAAAAUAAUUCAAUGAAGAUAUUACCCAUUUUGUGCGAACAAAAAUUUUGGUAGUCUCCCCUUAAAAUUAAACAAAUCCUCAAACACACAACAUGGUUAAAAACACUUCCAUAUAAGCUUAAAUAAUUAUAACAAACCAACAACUCCAUCAAUUCAUUAAAGCAACACACAUAUAAUCAUCAAUCAUCAAAAUCAUCAAGAAAUCAAUUUUAAUAGUAUUAAUAACAUGAUUAGAGAUAUUAAUAAAUUUCAUCAUCCUAAGUUCAUGCCGAAUUUUUGAAAAUUGUUCUUCGCAAAAGGGUUUUGAUUUGUUUACCAAAUUGGCAUGCAAAAGUUAUAAGAACAUAUUAUCAACUAUCCAAGCUCCAUAAUUACUAAUCACGUUUUAGAAAUUAAGACAACUAAACUCAUCAAAGAUCUAAUGUGACAUUUCAAUAUAAUUUAAAAAUAUUAUAUGCUUAAAUUCUCGAAGUAUAUGUAUUUUUUCCUUUUUCGAUAUCAUUUAAAACAAGUAAUGCAUAUUCAACAAUACAUCGAUAAAGUAUAAAAAAUGCAUCCAUUCAUCAAUCAUAGAUUGCAUAAGAUCAAACUUCAUCAAAUACAAUGUAAUCAUCAAAGCACAUUCUUUAUCAUCAAAACUUAAGUAAAGCAUAAGUACAUAAUGACAAUAUAUAGAUCAUCAAAAUCAACAUAUAGCAAUAUAUAGAUCAUCAAAAUCAACAUAGCUAUUAAGAAAAGCCAUCAUGAUGAGCUAAACAACAAGUGAUCAAAUCCAUUAUUACAAAUGCUCACAUAGGCCAAUUUAAUAAAUGAUGAUAUAAUACAAUAAAUGACAUAUGAAUUUACACAUACAUAAGUGAUGAACGAAUAAGGAAGAUGAAUAAAUGACAUGAAACAUGAUGAUAGACAAUUAAAAAAAAAAAGAGAGAUCAAAGGUCAUACAAUCAUUGAAAUCAAACAAAGGCAUCAUGAUAAGUUUCAUGAUAAGUUGACAUGCUACCAUCAUAUAGAUUUAUCCAUACAUCAUGAUUACAUACAAUAAUAAUUCAAUUAUGUAAACGUAUGAGUAUGCUUUUGUAAAUUCAAGCUAUUAUCCAUCCAUCAUGAUUCAUUCAGCAAAAUCAAUAUGGCAAGAAUUGUUACCAAAAUAAUUAAAUCAUCUUGCCUCAUCUUUUUCUCUUAGAUCAUAAUCAAGUGAUUAUCCUCACAAUCUUUCAUCAAGGAACUCUCUACCAUUUCUUGAUUAUGGUACCUUGAUAACUCUAUAAAAUAAGAGUUAUCAUGACACUUUUAGACUUAAAUCAAUAAUAUUUCGAGAGUAAAUAAUGUGUUUUCAUUGUAUUUUUGUUUAAUUUUGCAUAAACAUUCACUUAGUUUAUUCGUAAUAAAUUAUGUUUGAUUUAGAAUAAUUUGUGUGCUAAAUCAUAUGCAUAAUUGUAGGUGUCCGGAAGCCCAAAUUUCAAUGAAAGAAUGCUGAUGCAAUAGGCUUGCAAAAGAUAGAAAAGAACUUGGCUACAAAAGAAUUGAAACAAAUCUGGAACAAUUCAGUUGUUGUAGUUAUUGCUGUAGCAACCUAGAACAACGACAGAGAAAAUUCUGCGUGGGAUAAUUGCAGAAUUGAGAUCUGAAGUUUCCUAAUCUGACUUAUGCAUGACCUAAGCUUCCGUUGCCCUAAUUUUCAAUUAUAAAAGAAGUACACAUCAUAAGGAAAAGAGGGAGCCGUCACCCAAGGAGAAAAAUAAAAAGAAACAAAAGAAAAACAAUCUCUUGAUUGUAAGGCCAUCUCCAAUGCAUAACGCCAUUUUUGUGUAACACCAACACCAAAAAUGUACCUUUUUCACACCAACUUACUGUUUCAUCUCCAACCCAUUUACACCAAAUUUUACACCAAAAAGAAUAUUCUUCUUUUUAUUCUUUUAAUUCUCAAGAAUUAAUUCAAUUAACACAAUAAAUAUUACUAUUAAUAUAGAUAAUUACGUAAUAAAUAAUUUUAUAUCGAUUAACAAAAGAAAUAUAGAAAAUUAUUAAUUUUGUAAUAUGUAAUCUAGUAAUUAAUGUUAUUGGCAUUUUAUUUUUAUUAUUAAUUUUUGUGUUGAAUAUUUUUUAUUUAAAAUUUUAGUAUAAUAUUCAAAAAUUAAAAAAAUGAAAUAAAAAGAAUAACAAAAAUAAUAAUAACUUAAAAUAUUAUAUAAAAUAGGGCAUAUAUGUAAAUAAGAAAAAGUAAUAAGGAUAUUUGGGACUUUUUUUCCGCAACACCAAAUGAAUAGUGUUGCACCAUAUUUGGUGCAAUACUAUUCAUAACACCAUUUUGGUGUUGGUUUUGGUGUUACAUUGGAGAAGCAUUUUACACCAAAAAUGGUGUCAAAAGUGAUUUGGUGAUAGGUUUGGUGCUACAUUGGAGAUGCCCUAAAGGUCCAUUGACACCUUGGAAGUCAAUUGUAAAGAACUUGAAGCCUUGAGAUGCUUGGAUAGUGAAAUCCUCAAGCCGGGUGAGCUUAGAGGUGUGGACGUAGGCGGGGAUUGCCGAACCACGUAAAAAUCAUUGUGUUUGUUUUCUCUUCCCUUACUCUCUUAUUAUUAUGCUGUAUUGAAUUUAUUAUUUUUUAUUCCAUUAAUACAUUAGAUUAAAUUAUUUUGUGGUUUGCUUAUCUUAAAUUUUAAAAUUCUAAUUCACCCCCCUCUUGGGUUGCCUAGUUAGUGUUUCAGAAAUAUAUGACAACUUUAAGGAAGAAAAUAGAAUAGUAUUAAUAGAAUCUAUUUUAACCAGUCUUGAAAUAAUUCAAGACAGAUGCAAAAUAUAUAACAAGACUCUAAAUCGUCCAUAAUAAGUCUAUUGAUGAAUAAUAACAAUAAUAGUGAUGUGAAAUUUUUUAUUCAGAAUGCUCAAUUUAGAUUAUAAUAUCUAUAUGAAAGCAUUGAUGGCAUGUACCUUGGUUGGGAAAAUAGAUUGGACACAUUGAUAGAUAUGUUGGAAGAAAAAAUCUAGUUUAUGUCUCAAGAGAGACAAGAAAUUAUAAAUGCCGGUGCUAUAGUAUAUUUGGAUUUGAUGAUCAUUUAGAUCUUUAUAAAAUUAUAAUAAAACUUUAAAAAUAUUUAAAAAUAUAUGUAGAAGAGAUGGAAGAAGAAAUCAUCCAGUUAUUCAAAAUCAAUUAAACAAAAAUAAAAGGUAAAAUCCUUGAAUUAUAUAAAUUAUACAAUUUCACAAAAAUUUAGCAUAUAUUGCAGAAAGGUCCUUGUGGCAUAGAUUAUGGGACUAGUGUAGCAUAAAUACUAAUAUUGUUUUUUAUUUUGUAAAUAAAUUAUUGCGUCAUAAUUUUUUUACAUACAAAUUUUAUGUUCUAAAAUAUUAAUUUGUUUUUGUAUUUAGAGUUAAUUUUAUAAUUUCAGACUUUGUUCAACUAUAUGUCCAAGUCCUUCACGUGUUGGUUGAUGUUGAAUAUUCAAAGAUCCACAAGCUAUCAACAACAACAAAUCAAAUUAAACUAAUUAGCUAACACAUAAUGAUUGGGUUGUUUCCUAUGCUUGUUAAUGAUGUAGAACAUUAUUUUAGAAUUUUAGAAUUUUAAUUCUUUAGGUCUUUUGAUAUUUUUUUUAAUUAAAGUCAGUGUCUUAGACUUUUAUUUCUAUUAUAAUUAUCAUUUACUUUCCCUUUUAAGUUAACUUAGGAAAGUAGAUUUACUCUAUUAUAAAUAAAGAGAUCUUGUUAUCACUUUUAUAACUUCAACUUCAAUUAUUCAAUUAAAAACCCCUCUUUUAUAAUUUCCUUUGGUAUUAUCUAUUAAAAAUUCCUCUUUGAGAGUUGUUUGAUUAUAGCAUCAUCUAGCCUUGCUUAACGCAGUUUUAAAAAUCUCAUUGAGUUUAAUUACAUUUCGAUUAGAGCGUAACUUAAUCGUAUUGACUUGGUCCAGUACUUGAACCAUAUCUAGUGUUUUGCUUCCGCUACGCCCAAGGAGAAAAUUAAUUUCACCGUGAGAUAAGAGCAUUGAAAGGAAUUCAUGAGAAAUUUAAAUUAAGCUUUGUUAAAUAUAUCGCUAGCUACUUGUUUUUGGAGGAACUAAAACAAUUAAUUAGCUACGAAGUGAAAAUAAAUAAAUAAAUGAAAUCAAGUUGAAAAUAAAAUAAGUUUCGCCGCCUGGAUCCAAGGCCAAAACAUUCAUGAUAAGUUAGGUAAUUAAGUACAUGUUUUCAAGCUCUUCAUGAAGCAUAAUGUUAUUGAAAUAAAUCACAAAGACUCCCUGCGCACAUUAUUACAUUGAUUAAAAAACAAAUGCCAUAUGUUUAACAGGAUCGUGACUCUGGGACUGUUAAUUACUUUAUUCCCUGCUUGGCCAACAGCUGGCCACUAAACAAAUCAUAAAAAUUUUAAAUUUAGUCAAAUUGGUCCGACUUGAUGACAUCCUUUUCAUACAUAAAAUUGUUUAACGUCAAGGUUAAAUAUGAGAAGUUUGGUAGAGAAGGUAAAAGGGAAGUGUAUAUAAGGAGGGGAACGAGCUUUGUUUAUAGCACAAGUGAAACUCCACUCUAUUGAACGAUGGGGUCUCAAAUGGGCUGCCUCUUUGCCACUCUUUUGGUAAUAUCAGUCUGUCUUAGCUACUUGCCGUUAGAAGCCUCCGCAAACAAAUACUACUACACAUCUCCUCCCCCUCCCAAGUAAAAGUCUCCACCACCCCCGCCACCGGUUCACAAUUCUCCACCACCACCCCCGAUUUACAUGCCCCCGCCACCUCCUCCACCAGUCUACCUGCCUGCUCCGGCACCAACACCAAUUUCCUAUUCCCGGCCACCUCCUGUCCCCAAGUCCCCACCACCACCUCACCCUUACGUCUAUGCAUCUCCCCCUCCUCCUUACUACUACUAGAAAGCGGCCAUGAAUAGCUCAUGCUUUU